AAACGGGGGUUGGGUGAUUAUACGGAGCUUAAACCUUAAACUGUAGUUAGGAUAAUUUAAGGUUUUCCCCAACACUUAAUCACAGAAUUUGUGUUGAGAUUCUUUAUGGGAAACAACCCCCAUAUCCUCAUUAUUUCAUAACAGAAGAAUAGAGAUGACUUCACUGCUUCUAACAUUCUCACAUACCCCAAGACAGCCUCAAACUUUCUAUACUGCAGAGGAUGACCUUGGACAACUGAUCCCGGCCUGCACUCUGGAGCGCUGUGGACAUCUGACAGGCUUGUGCUAUCACAGAGUGGAGAAUCAAAGCCCAUGAUAAGCAAGGACUGUACCAGCCGAGCCACCUCCCCAGCCGGCAGGAAUCCCAGUUUUUGUAGAACACAGUUUUUAAUUUAGUUCCUUUUCAUUGACUUAAAUUAUGCACACUCGCCCGAGUGUAUGUUGAACCACCUUUGUCCGGCUCCCUUUGUUCUUCGAAGCAGAUGGAAAUGAGGUGGCAGACUGGGAAGGUUGCCAUGGUGCUGUGGCUACAGGGAUUUAACAGUAAUCAAAAGAAGCUCCGGAGUCCCCUCCCCCACGAUUCAGCACCGGUUUCUCACAUUUCUUGUCCUUUGUGGCUAAACUGCCUGCUCCAUGAUUCCCACAGAAGCUCUUCUCUCUGCUUUCCCAGUGUUGAGGUUACCGGCAUGUGCCACUCGGCCUGGUUUUAUAGGGGGAUUGAACUCAAGUCCUCACGGCUUGUGUGGCAAGCAUAUUUCUUCUGUCUGAGCCAUCACCCCAACCUUUCCAUGCACUGUGGUAAAUAUAUUAUAUAUAUAUUAUUAUUAUAUUUACUUAAAUCAAUCCUAUCCAAUCAUGAACUUCUGACAAUUACAUUUAAAGAUCAUCCUAGGAACGCCUGGAGGAGCGAGCAAAUGACCUUCCGAAACUCCACUUCUUUUGUGAAUCGGAGAGCCUGAUGGAAGACAGGAUGUGACUGAAUGUUUGAAGCUCCAUCCUUGACUUUAAACAUUGUAUUAGUUUUCCAGUAGUUACUUUUCUGUUGCCGUGAAAAAACACUAAAAAGUAUCACAUGGAAGAAAGGGUUUAGUUGCAGAGGGAGAGUCCCCUAAUGGCCAGGGGGCACUGCAGCAAACGUCACAUCCUCGACAAACAGGAAGCAGAGCAAAGAAACUGGGUCAAGGCUGGAAGCCCAGGGACUUCCUCCAACAAGGCCAUACCCUUAGAGUUUUUAUAACUUCCCUGAACAGUGCCAAAGCCAAAAGGCUUCACUUGCAGGGGACCAGGGUUCAAAUACCUGAGCAGGUCAGAGACAUUUAUCAUUCCAGCCACCACAAAUAUGUAAACUCCAACACUAGCCAAGCUCCCAAAUUCCCGAGUGCUGGCUCUCCGUGGUGUGCUGAAACUGCUGUGCUGCUCAAAGGUUUCUGUUUCCUUAACCAGAGCUAAUUCAACAGCUCUUCUCUUACUCAGCCAAUAGGGUUCUUUUAGAAAUAGCAGUUUGCCCUCUUGGAAACCUUGCAGUUUUGGUGUAAGUGGUAUGGAUAUGUUAUCUCUAAGGUCUGAUAAUUCCUACGUAAACGGACUGAAAUAAUAAUAAUCUCUCAGUAGUGUCUGGCAUAAGGGUUUGUUUGUUUUAUAUUUGUUUAUUUAGUGUGUGUGUGGUGGGGGAGAGGACACAGCAGAAGUCAGAGGACAAUUUCAGGGAGUCAGUUCCUCUCUGCCAUCUGGGUCCCAGGGCGCAAACUCAGUUUUCGGGUCUGGAUGAAGAGUUCCAUUACCUACUGAGCACCAUCCCAGGUUCCGUGUCUUUCUUUGGGGCAGGAUUUCAUGUAGUCCAGGCUAGCUUGAACUAGUUUUCCUCCUGCCUCUACAUCCCACAUGCUUGGAUUAGAGACAUGAGCCCUUGCUUCAGGCUUACAAGGAUAUUUAGAAAAACAUUUUUUCUUCAUCUUCUUUUAGAUUUAAAAACUGAUUAAGAGUUGAACCCUGGAACUCUGGAAGAGCAGAUAGUGACCUUAACCAGUGAGCCUGAACUUGAAUUAAAAACGAAACACACCUAAUUAA
ensembl:lncRNA